UUCCCUUUAAAUUAAAUUACUCCUCCUCUUUGUUCCCAAGCACAGAGAGAGAGAGAGAGAGAGAGAGAGAGAGAGAGAGAACAGCGAAGAGGUUAAGGAGACUCUUCGAUGGAGACUCUUCGAUGGACCAAGCUCCCAACCGAGGAAGCUAGAAUUCUCCAAGGGCAAAGAAAUAGGUAAAGGAUCAAAGGAAAAAAGAAUAAACGUGACAAGAUGACCCAUGGCUUUGCAGGUUUUGACUAUCAAGCUCAAAGAAAAUGUCAUGUUUGGGCUGGGUAAUCUGAAAUUGGACUUGCCUGGCUCCCUGAAUGCCAUCUAAGAAGCAGCUUUUGCCAAAGACAGAGUUGGCAACUUCCUUAGUUGGCAUGAGGGGAGCCAUGCAGGCCCUAAUGCAUACAUAACCCAUUACAAGCAGGCAAGCCCCGGUCAUCAACAUCCUCAGAUAAGUCGUUAAUUUCACUGGCUUAAUUUCUCGUUCACUCCUCGUUAGCCAAGAGCAGCACGUCAAAGGUAGCAAGCUAGGAUAAGUCGUUAAUUUCACUGACUUAAUUUUUCGUUCACUGCUCAUUAGCCAAGACGACUUAUCCUAGCUUGCAUCCUUUGACAUGCUGGUCUUCAUUAAGAGGAUAUGCACGACAUUUCCAGGAUUGUGUGUACGCUUCUUUCUUGUUAUUUGUGGAUGAGUUAAGCUUUUCUCAACAACAUGCAUAGAUGCGACGGUUCAGAUUGAAAAUCUUUGCAAAAUGGUCCACAUAAACUUUAGAGAAGCGUGGUGGGGCUUUAAGACCUUACCACAUUGCGGCCUCGCCCUUAAAUUGGUCCUCUCUCUCCCUCUCUAUUUAUGUAUUUCCAAUACUCUUUUGCUUCUUCCCACUUAAGGGAUAGCAUAGGCCGGUGAUACAAAUCGAAGGAUAAAACUUCUAAGUGAACCCUAAAGGGGCCAGUUCCAGAGAAUUUAGAAUCAGAACUUGCAACUCCCUGCAUGCAUGUUGAACUAAUUCUAACCUAGCAAUAUAAUCUAGCUUUAAAUGAUAAAGAAACCAGUAGGGUCCUGUAUUUCCACUUGAAUUGAUGAGAGGUAAUUAUGCCCUCAAAAUAAUGUUGCUCAAUUUUUCAUUCAACCCUACUUAUUGGACUGUCAUCUUAUAUGAUAUUUCGUGUUUCAUGACACUGCUUAUCUUGUUUUCAUUUCAUUGAUUGAUCAGACUUCUUGUAUUUUUACUAAAGCACAUAUAGCAUUUUGAAUCUUUUCUCCAAAUUUCAUUUGGCUUCUUUUAUGUCACAAUGAGUUCAAAAGGAUAUUAGAUAUAAUUAGAAGAUUUUCCAUAUCUUCCUUGAUUUUCCUUAUUUCGAUGUUCAUAUACCUUUCUCGAAUAUGCAGAUUUUACAUUGAUUAUAAUUGAUAUUUUCCAUAAAUAAUCUUUUUAAAAAAUUAAUAAAUAUCUCAUGCAAUUUUUAUUCUGGAAUACGCAAUAAUUACAAAAUUCUUUUCCACACUUUCCGAUCUUUCUUGAUCGCUCUGCAAACUCUUUUUGACAGAUUGCUUCCACAUAAUGAGAUGAACGAUUGAUUUGAUGUUUCGUAUGGAUCAUACAGAACCGGACUAGAUGCUUUGCCCUACUUCCAGGUUCCAAUUCACAUCUCUCAGGUCAUAUUCAGGUUAAAAUUGGACGGAUUUCUGAAUAACAUGGUGAUAAUAAGUGGAAGAGAAGACAGACGUGUACUGCAGGGUGGUCUUAUGUGGACGCUGGCUUUCAGGCUUUCCAUAUGAUAUUAGGUCUUGAUUCCAAGUGAGAGAGAUCUUUCCCAUUUCGGGACCGACCGUGUAAAAGGAAUCUACAAAUAUGGCAUCAAGAUAGCAUUACGUGCAGCUCUUAUCUAAGAUUAAUAUGUUGUGCUUAAUCAUCGCGUUUUUUGAUAUGGUAAUUUAAAUAAAAAUAGUGAAGGUUGUUUUUAUUUCAAAA